UCUGUUCUUUCUCACGCUUCUCUCAUUCUCCUCUUUUUUUCUCUUUCGGUUUUUAUGAUCAAAGGGAAGGUUUUAAUGGUUAAAUUCAACCAUGAAAACUCUAGAUUUAGAGUUUUCCUAGUCGAAUUUGACCGUUUUAAACCAAAUCCGAGGUGAAAUUCAAGGCCAUUUUCGGUUUAAAAGCUUGCUGGACGAAGAUUUAAUCCUGAGUUAGUGGUAUAUAAUGCUGUAACUGACAUCCAAGAUAAAGAUCAACUGGUAGUCUAAGGCGCCCUGAUUUUGCGAUUCCAUCGGCUCUAGUGCGCCACAUCUUCUCGUUGACCAAAACGGUCAAUUUUCUAAAUCUGGGGCCACAAUUAAUCGGGUGCAUGGUGAGCUAAAUGGAGAUGAAUUAUAGUGACUAGUCAUCUAACAAAUGGUGCAUAUAUGUUGGCGACUCUAAUUCUGUUAAUUAAGUUCAAGUUUGUGAUGAUUUGGAAAUUCCAGCUUAUAUGUAUGUUGAAAUUUAUAUUUUGGACGAUUAAAUUAAUUAUCUAACUUUUAUUUAUUAAUUAGUAGGGUGUCAUACCGAAAACAAAAAAGUAAUAUUUUGUAAUGUAUGUAAUUAGCAUUAUAAUUAUUAUAUAUAAAUAUAAUGACAUUUUGUUCCCAUUUGUUAGUAU